rnacentral:rRNA from 1 species
UACAGAGGUCCCGAGCGUUGUUCGGAUUCAUUGGGCGUAAAGGGUGCGUAGGCGGCGGGGCAAGUCUGAUGUGAAAGUCCCGGGGCUCCAACCCGGAACUGCAUUGGAUACUGCCUUGCUAGAGUACUGGAGAGGGAACUGGAAUUUACGGUGUAGCAGUGAAAUGCGUAGAGAUCGUAAGGAAGGCCAGUGGCGAAGGCGAGUUCCUGGACAGUUACUGACGCUGAGGCACGGAAGGCCAGGGGAGCAAACGGG